GGCGCGCGGCCUCGGGGGCGGCCCCUCCGGGAGGAGUCCUCUGCUGGAGCGUCAGUGCUCGCUCAGCCGCGGGGGCGCUGGCCCUGGGAAUCCCGCGGCCCUUUCCGGCUGCCGCAGCGGGGCCUCCGAGGCCGAGCAGGGGCUCUCCGCCGCCUCUCGGGGCCCCCGGUGCUCCGGGGACCGGGUCCAUCGGGGCCUCCUCCGGGGAGGAAGCGGGGCGGGCGGAGGUGGAGGACGGGCCGGGCCUGGGGCUCCACUCCCGGGUCGAGGACAGGGCGGGCCGGCCGGCGUCCGUCGGGGGCAGCCGCGGUGCAUCUCCCGGGACCCGGCCCGGCCUUCGGCCCGCGGCCCGCCUGGUCGCCCGGCUCUGGCGCAGCGGUCGGUGAACGCUGGUCGUUCGGCGUCGCGCGGACACUUGGGGUUUCCCUAAGCCCGAGGGCCGGCACGUUCAGAAAACCACGCUGUGGCGUUCGUCGGGGACCGACAACUGGGCAGACCCCGUCCCCGGGUUUCCCGGUUCCGUGCCGGCCCCGCAGCGCCGCCGACCGGGCAGCUGCGCGGAGCCGUCCGUGCCCCUCCUCGAAGGCCAGCUGUGGCCUCUGCCGGGGGAGGCCCCGCCGGGACGGACCGGCCGGACGGGUGGGGCUGGAGCGGCCCGCGAGCUCCCGAGCAGUCCCGUGACUCCCCCCGCCGGGCGCCGCUGGGUCUGUGCGGCCCAGGGAGGUCGGCUCCUCGGCCCGAGGCGGGCAGGGUGCACCCUUCUGGCCUGGGCGAAAACCUCUACAGACCCUAGGAUUGCUGUAGGUCAGCAGUCCCCACUGGAAAAAAAAAUCUUGAAUCUUGGUGGCGUGCAUACAGCAGCGGCAAGACAGCUGAUAACUCGGAAGUACCACGAGGAAUAUGAAACAUUGUGCAGGGAGCAAGCUCUUUCUCUUGACCACUGGCUGGCCAAAGCGGAGUCUUAUUAUAAUAAGAGAAUAAUGGACAUGAUGAAGGAGCAAGGGACAGGCCAUGAAGCCAAGACGAGAUUGGAGGGGAAGACGACCCACAGGCUCGAGAGACCAAAGCAGUAUUACUUGGUUCCGGAGAGAGAGGUGAAACACAUAGAAAGGCACAUUCAGAGAGUGGGUCGGGUCAGAGAGUCUAAGAACAAACCAGGUAAACAAUUACCACGGCCCCCUAGUGAGACAACGUUCCCCAAAAUUGUGCCCGAAGAGCAUGGUGUCCUGAGUGCCCAGAGAAGAAAGCAGGUAAGCGAGAGGGAACAGACGCAAAUCGAAGGUCACCAGGAACGCAUGCUUCGGGGGAGAGCGCUCACGGAGCAAAGGCGCAAGGAGAGAGUCUUGAGGAAAACCCAGAGCCAGCUGCCAACACGAGAGCGGCGCGGGAGGGCAGGGAGAGAGAUGAAAGAGCUUGAAAGUGUGACUGCGUACCCCCUCUUCCAGCCUCGCGGUAGAAGCCGGAUUAAAGUGAAUAUCCUCAUGGAAAAGAAUAGAGAAGAAGUGCCUGCCGUCAUAAAACCACAUCAAAGAAAAUUCUUGACCAUGCCACCCUUUCUGAGAAGCCAGAUAGGAAAAAUGAAAGACUAGUAGAGUUUCAGUGCUUUGAGAAUAAACCCCCGUGUCUUAAGUGAA